rnacentral:rRNA from 1 species
AAAUAGCCGCGGUAUUUUGACCGUGCAAAGGUAGCAUAAUCAUUAGUCUUUUAAUUGUGGACUGGAAUGAAUGGUUUAACGAGAAAUUAACUGUCUCUUAAUAAUUUUUAGAAUUUAACUUUUGAGUUAAAAGGCUUAAAUUUUUCUUUAGGACGAGAAGACCCUAUAGAUCUUUACAUUUAAAUUUUAUAUUUUUUUUAGUUAAUCUUUUUAUAUUAAAUUUUAAUGUUUUGUUGGGGUGACAUGAAGAAUAGCUAAACUCUUCAUUAUUAAAUCAUUUAUUUAUGAUUAUUUGAUCCAUAAUUUAUGAUCAUAAGAUUAAGUUACCUUAGGGAUAACAGCGUAAUUAUUAUUGAGAGUUCAUAUCGACAUAAUAGUUUGCGACCUCGAUGUUGGAUUAAGAUUAAUUUUAGGUGUAGUAGCUUAAAAAUUAGGUCUGUUCGACCUUUAGAUUCUUACG